UCAUUGAUGGAGUAGGAUCAGCGUUUGC
rnacentral:piRNA from 1 species